rnacentral:tRNA from 1 species
GUGUGUAUUACGACAUAAUAGACAAACAGAUAAUGGCAUAGUGGUAUAUUUUCUAUUUCAAC